rnacentral:rRNA from 1 species
AUGAAGACAGGUCACUCAGAAUUUGUUCUUCUCGUUUGUGAUUACAGGUCACUUGGCAUUUAUCUCCCCCUUUAUGGUUUCAUAGUUUUGUAUUGCAUAUGGUCACACAGAACAAGCAGGUUGUGUGUAUCGAACCCACAUGUCAGUCCAGUGGCAUGUUCUUAUAAUGUACCAUCUCUGUUCCGAAUUAUGAGAAGUUUUAGAUAUUUCAACAUGGACUAUAUACGGACUGAAAUGAGUGAACAACACACUAAAACGCGUCUAUGUACAUCCGAUUCAGAAAAAGUUAGAACAUCUUAUAUGCUUUCAAAUUACCAUGGUUAUGAUUAUAGAAACAGAGUUUUGGAUCAAGCAAUGGCAUGCUCCUUUUUAUGCCAUGAUAUUAUUACCUUGGGGCUAUCAAAAGACAUCAGCAAGCAUGAAUGA